UACGGAGGAUCCGAGCGUUAUCCGGAAUUAUUGGGUUUAAAGGGUGCGUAGGCGGCCAUUUAAGUCAGCGGUGAAAUUUUGCAGCUUAACUGUAACAGUGCCGUUGAUACUGUUUGGCUAGGAUUUGGUUGUAGUGUGCGGAAUGUGUGGUGUAGCGGUGAAAUGCUUAGAUAUCACACAGAACACCGAUUGCGAAGGCAGCACACUAAGUCAUUAUUGACGCUGAGGCACGAAAGUGUGGGGAUCAAACAGGAUUAGAUA
rnacentral:rRNA from 1 species